GGGGUGAGCUCUGCCUGUCUCGGGAGACCUCCUUGAUGCCAGCCUCUUUUCUUCAGACCUGCCAUCUGCUCCAGUGAAUAAUUCUACCAAGCGUGUUUCCCAUGAUUUCCCUCAUUAUGUCUCAACAUCCUUCACACAAGAUCUGUAGUUACUGUCCUUAUGAGCAGUAACAGCUUCCCACUUUGACUAAGAAGAGGAAUUGCUCACCGAACACAGAGUGAGGCUCAAAGACACGGAGGAAAUGCAGAAGUGGGGUGGAGCUCAUCGUGACAGAUCUCCAACAUUCAGACUAUAUUUCCAGUGAAACUAGAAGCUACGUGAAACCCAGAAACUCAAACUAUGGUUUAAUGGCAGCCCAAGGUAU